UACGGAGGGUGCAAGCGUUGCUCGGAAUCACUGGGCGUAAAGCGUACGCAGGCGGCUUGAUAAGUUGGGUGUGAAAUCCCGGGGCUCAACCCCGGAACUGCAUUCAAAACUGUCUCGCUUGAAUACGGGAGAGGGAAGCGGAAUUCCUGGUGUAGAGGUGAAAUUCGUAGAUAUCAGGAGGAACACCAGUGGCGAAAGCGGCUUCCUGGCCCGAUAUUGACGCUCAUGUACGAAAGCGUGGGGAGCAAAC
rnacentral:rRNA from 1 species